rnacentral:lncRNA from 1 species
GGAGUGUGAUCAAAUAUUUAGAAUUAGAUAGUAUAUUCGGCCUCUAAAUCAUUUAGGAUAAACAUAAAUCAUCAUUAAAUAAUAUAAAAUAAUUGUUUAUCUUUAAUAACUUAAUAUGAUAGAGAACAGUGUUUAAAUAUUUUUACAUCAUUCUCCCUCACUUUUGAACUCGAGAUUUUUCGCUAGGUCCAUGAUACGGACUUAAAUUAUAUAAGAGAAAGUUAAUUAUAUUAGGAGUAACGCCUGGACUCAAGAUUUUUUAUUAGACUUAUGACGUGAACGUAAAUUAUAUAGGAGAACAUUAAUAAUGCUACGAGUCUGACGUUACUCAAACUUGAGACCCCUUGCUCUGAUAUUAUGUUAAAUAAUAUAAAAUAAUCAUUUGUUUUAAUAGUUUAAGCAGGCAGAGAAUGAUGUUUAAUAUUUUUAGUUUAACAAUAUGUUAUCCAAUU